rnacentral:rRNA from 1 species
GACGAACGCUGGCGGCGUGCUUAACACAUGCAAGUCGAGCGGUAAGGCCCUUUCGGGGGUACACGAGCGGCGAACGGGUGAGUAACACGUGGGUGACCUGCCCUCAGCUCUGGGAUAAGCCUGGGAAACCGGGUCUAAUACCGGAUAUGACUCCAUGACGCAUGUUGUGGGGUGGAAAGCCUUGUGCGGCUGAGGAUGGGCCCGCGGCCUAUCAGCUUGUUGGUGGGGUGANGGCCUACCAAGGCGACGACGGGUAGCCGGCCUGAGAGGGCGACCGGCCACACUGGGACUGAGACACGGCCCAGACUCCUACGGGAGGCAGCAGUGGGGAAUCUUGCGCAAUGGGCGAAAGCCUGACGCAGCGACGCCGCGUGAGGGAUGACGGCCUGGUUGUAAC